AUGGGGUAUGGGUAGGGACUUGGUAAUAUGAGUAAAUGUAGUAACCCCAUUGUUUUUUCAUGUGAAACCUUCAUAAGAGUGUAUAUCAAUAAUACCUUAAUAAAAAAUAAAUAAUAAAAAAAAUAAAAGUGCCCUUUCCUCCUCUAUUCCCUGAAACAGUUUGUGUAGGAUGGGUAGUAUUUCUUCCUUAAAUAUAGAGAAUCCAACAAUGAAACGUUCUGGUCCUGGAAUUUCUUUAAUGAGGUUUAAAUUUAUAUUACUUAAUAAAUACAGAUAUAUUCAUAUUUUAUAUUCAUUUUUGAGCCUUUUUGCUAAUCUGUAUCGUUCAAGUAAUUUUUUCCAUUAAAAAUUUUAUAAUUUACUGACAAAAUGUUUUGCAAUAUUUCCUUAAUAUAAUUUGAUGUCAGGAGGUUCUACAGUGAUAUCUCUUCUUUUAGUCUUCAUACUGAUAAUUUGUGUCUUUUCUUUCUCUCUUUUGAUCAGUCUAACUAGAGUUUUAUUAAUUUUACUGUUUUUUUCAACAACAAAUGGUAUUUGGCAUUAUGGAUAAUUUAUAUUAUUUCUCUGUUUUCUAUUUAAUUGAUUUCUGGUUUUAUAUUUAUUAUUUCCUUUAUUCUAUGUGCUUUUUGUUCAAUCCACUCCUUUUUUAGCUUCUUGAAAGGAAAAUUUAGAUAAUUGAUUUUUAAUAUUUCCUUUCUUCUAAAGCUAUACAUUUCCCAUUAACUCUCUUUUACCUGGAUUCCAAAAUGUUUAUUUGUUGUAUUAAUUAUUCAAUGCAAAAUAUUUUCCACCUCUGCUUUAAAAUUCCUGUUUGACUCAUUGGUUACUUAUAAUUAUUUUAAUUACUUAAUUUUCAAGUACAUGGAGGUUUUUCAAUUAUCCUUUUAUUAUUGAUUUCUAAUUUUACUGAAUCAAGAGUGAAUACGUUAUAUAAUUUUGAGCCUUACAAAUGUAUUAAGACUCACUUAAUGGACCAAUAUAUGAUUUGACUUGGUAAAUAUUUUAUGUAUACUUUAAAAGAAUAUAUAUUCUGCCAUUUGGAUUUCUCUUUUUCAUUUCUGUCAUAUUUUUCUUCAUGAAUUUUGAAGCUCUGUCAUUUGACAUUUUUAGCUCAAGUCUUCCAAAAAGCAAAUAUUGACACAGGAAUAGAAAUAAAAGGCAUUUAUUGGUGAAAAUGCCUAUGAAGAAUAAAGGGGAGAAGGCAUGAAAAGGCAGAGAGAGACUUCAAACCAUGGGGCAGAUCUGACAACUCUCAUAGAGAGAGGGGAGGAAGGGGAUUGGGUAGAAAAAUCUUAGACAGCUGAGUAGUACCAAGAAGAGUUCAACCAGACAGAUAAGCAAAUCUUCAAUAUCUCCCAUUGGGGGAAUGGGCUUACCUUAAAUCCUCUGCCAUGUUCAGUCAUUGGCUUAGAGAAGCCCUAAGAAACAUAGUCUCAGUGCAGGCAGAGAGGUGGGUCCAGAGGGCAGCAGCUGGGGCUUUGAGUCAAUAUUAUGGGGUAUUUUUUUCUGGCCUUCUCUCUUGCCUGUUAAGUCCAGCAUCUCUGUCAUUUCUAAAUUUGUUUCUGUUGAUUAAUUUUUUUCUUGUGUAUAUAGGUUAUACUGAUUCUUUGCACUUCUAGUAAUUUCUGAUUAGAUACAAGUAUUGUGAAAAUCACAUUGGUGAAUGCCUGGAUUUUGUUAUUAUCCUUUAAAGAGUAUUAAUAUUGGUUUUGACAUUUCUUGUAGAUCAGUUUGAUCUUUUCGUGGUUUGUUUUAUGGUUUUGUUGGUGAAUACCUAGAAUGGCCUUUACCCUAGGACUGCUUUGACUCUUCUGGGGGCUCUACAGAAUGAGUAUUCAAUAAAGACUCAUUACUCUGACUCAUUCAGUCAUCUCCCAGGAAUUCAAAAGUCUCCCAACCCCAUGUGGAGUCUGGGAAUUGUUUGGUUUAGAGUUUAUUGAUAGUUGCUCUUAGCCCAAUUUCAUGACACACAUAAAUCACUAUUCACCAAAGACUAAGGAAAGCCCCAUGCAAUCUUGAGCUCUUUCUUUGUGUAACUUCCUCUUCUAUGGUUCUCUUCUCUGAAAAUUUCAGUUGUUUAAUUCUCUUUGAAAUUCAAUCAACUCAGUAUGACCACAUUGAUCUGCUUGGAUUUCCCCUCUCUGCACAAUUUAGAAAAUUACUCCAGGCAAAAAGGAAUAUAGGUCUCACUUCAUUUUUCUCUUUUCUAUCUCGUCAUAAUCUUACAUUAUUUACCAAUGCCUGUAAACAGUUUUUUGAUCCAUUUUCCACAGCCCUAAUUGUUUGUCAUAGGACAGUGAGUUUGGUGCCCAAAACUCUGUCAUGACCUAAGAAAGAAAUCCCACUGAAGGAUUUUUAUUGAGAGUGACAUGACAUAUGUAAUUGUUCUUUCCCUUCAAGAAUUUACACACAAGUGGCAGGAACAGAUAUUGACACAGUUAAUACAAGUAAGAUUAGAAUAAAUGCACAGUAGAUGCAUAAACAGUACAUUUUGGAAGCUGUUAAACCAUGCGUGUACUAUCUUGUUCCUUAAUUGCCUCUGUGUGAAAGGAUUAUCAGUCAAGCCAGACUGUAGGCUUCUCAGUCCUCCUCCCCUUCAGUCUUUAAAAUCAGUGCCACAUACAUCCCGAGGAACUCAAUAAGGACAUGCAAUUAGAUGGAUUGUGCUCAGCUCAAGAGGCCAGCAGUACAAUCCAGUGCUGUGAAAGGAUUCUAAUUUCUCCUUGACACUUAAGUGGAUUGUCACCACCUUGGAACAGCAUCAGCAUCAGAAAUAAGAGAAUGGAGAUUAUAACAGAAGCCCUUCAAGGCCCUGAUGAGAAAGCCUCCUCAUAGAUGACCAAAGAACUUAAGGGAUGGAGAAUCGCAGGAGGAAACUAUUCAGAUCACUUUACCACUGUUGGAGUAUAAUGGCCAAGGGAAUCACAACAGAUACAAAAACCAGAACAGAGCCUGUCCCAAAACAGGUACUAACAAAUACAUGUGCAAUAAACUCACUGAAAUUCGAUGAAAAAGAAAGUCUUCACUCAAGGCAAGCUGGAUCUGCAUUGGGAAAACUUUUCACCUAGAAGUCCUUAAGGAGUAAAUAAUUGCCACUCCUAUUGCCAGAUUGAGUCGGGAUGGCUCCUGAGCCAAUUGCAGUGGUUCAUAAAAGGCCUAUUCCAAGAUUCUUAAAGCCCAUGCUCAAAUUAAGCCCUCUCUACUAUCAGACCCUUAAAUAAAAGGAAAGGUGUAUGUAUUUGAUGCAUGGAAUUAAAGCAAAAAAAAAAGGAAUUUGCACCCUUCACCCAAUCCUUGCCUUCCACCACCACUGCCUUGGCUCCAGGGUUGAAGACUUCUACUUGGGGCUUGUUUUACCUUGGGAUAUAUGUGGCCUACAGUGGAUGAAAUGGUAAUGAUGACUUAGGACUAUGGCUUUGAUCCUCGGGUCCACAUAAUUUGUCUCCCAUGAAAAGCCAGAGGAUAAAUCUUGAGUCUGUCUUGGGAUGUGUUUCCAAGUGGGAGAGAAUUUAAGUGUCAUGAGUGAGGGACUGUUUGUCUUAAUCACCAAUGUGUCUUCAGAACUUAGAAUAGUGCCUUUAAGGUGCUACAAACUAAAAAAUAUGAUUGACUAAAUGAAAGAAAAUAACACUAACUUCAGUAGCUCAAGACUGUGUUCAGAACUCACCAUUUUUAGUAACUUCUCCUGCCUACAUGUACAGAUAUACACUCCUGUAUUAGUCUUAGUGUAUCCCUGACUGGAUUUCUUCUAAUGUUGAUUAGCAAAAAGGGUGUUGAGCCCAUUGACUCAGCCACUUUAUCAUUCUUAAGAAGAUAAGAUUAAGAAUACAACCAAUACUAUUGUAAUAUCUUGGUUUGGUAACAGAGGGUAACUACACUUAUGGUGGUCAGCAUCCAGUAAUACAUAUAAUUAUAGAAUCACUUUGUUGUACAUCUGAAAGCAAUAUAACUGUAUGUCAACUUUAUUUCACUAAAAAAAGGAAUGAACAUUCUUUGGGUUGGGCUGCACUGAACUUAGCCAAGUUAUCUUUGACUUAUGACUCAUUUUGAACCCCAAAAUCCUUACUAUCUGAAUGCUAACAAUGUCAGUGCUAUUUACAUUUUUAUUUCCAAGGGGAGAAUAAUAUCUGCAAAGGACACUCCUCAUCUUCUUCUCAAUCCUUGGAUUUAAAUUAUCACAAACAUAAUUUUUAAGAAAUGUCCCUUACAGUGAUAAAGAACAGCAUCAGGAGCUUGUAUUAUUCUGAUUCAUAACCUAACCAGAUCCUUUUCUUGGCAAUUAAAGAUAAAGAUAAAUUUUAAAUGAUGUUGUGGGUAAAAUUGUAAUAUUUCCAGAAUAUCUCACCUGGCUUUAGUACAUCUGCAUAUCAACAGGUGUUCAAGGGUGGAGAGAGGUAUGGCUUUUGUGGGAUUAAUGGGUUUAACAUGUAAAUCAAGUAAUAUAGGGAACAGAUGUACAAAUACGUAUGACCUGAUUGUUUCUUCUACAAUUCCUGAUGCAUGAUCAAUAACAGAAUGAGUAAAGACAAAACAGUUCCUGCAACUCAUGACCACCCUCACAUGGUUUUGGUGUCUUUGAGGAGCAUCACGCCCUAGGGCUGGACUCAAGGUCAGAUAAUGAUUGUGUGUUGGUCAUGUGUUGAAACCCCUACUCAGAAUUCUUUGGAUGUUUGGGUUCAUUUGCUCAAUAAAUAUGAGGAAUGCCUUUUUGGCAUUAUUCUUGCACUGUUGUGCCUUGAGUCCUCUGGCUGGCCCUUUCAGA